rnacentral:rRNA from 1 species
CCUAACGGGUGGCAGCAGUGGGGAAUAUUGGACAAUGGGCGAAAGCCUGAUCCAGCCAUGCCGCGUGUGUGAAGAAGGCCUUCGGGUUGUAAAGCACUUUCAGUGGGGAAGAAAGCCUUGGGGCUAAUACCCUCGAGGAAGGACAUCACCCACAGAAGAAGCACCGGCUAACUCCGUGCCAGCAGCCGCGGUAAUACGGAGGGUGCGAGCGUUAAUCGGAAUUACUGGGCGUAAAGCGCGCGUAGGCGGUCUGAUAAGCCGGUUGUGAAAGCCCCGGGCUCAACCUGGGAACGGCAUCCGGAACUGUCAGGCUAGAGUGCAGGAGAGGAAGGUAGAAUUCCCGGUGUAGCGGUGAAAUGCGUAGAGAUCGGGAGGAAUACCAGUGGCGAAGGCGGCCUUCUGGACUGACACUGACGCUGAGGUGCGAAAGCGUGGGUAGCAAACCGGAUUAGAUACCCUGGUAGUC